rnacentral:rRNA from 1 species
CUGGCGGCGUGCCUAACACAUGCAAGUCGAACGGAGCUGAGGAGCUUGCUCCUUAGCUUAGUGGCGGACGGGUGAGUAACGCGUGAGUAACCUGCCUCUGAGAGGGGAAUAACGUUCUGAAAAGAACGCUAAUACCGCAUAACGUAUUGAAGCCGCAUGACUUUGAUACCAAAGAUUUUAUCGCUCGGAGAUGGACUCGCGUCCGAUUAGCUUGUUGGUGAGGUAACGGCUCACCAAGGCGACGAUCGGUAGCCGGACUGAGAGGUUGAUCGGCCACAUUGGGACUGAGACACGGCCCAGACUCCUACGGGAGGCAGCAGUGGGGGAUAUUGCACAAUGGGCGCAAGCCCUGAUGCAGCAACGCCGCGUGCGGGAAGACGGCCUUCGGGUUGUAAACCGCUGUCCUUGGGGAAGAAACAAAUGACGGUACCCAAGAAGGAAGCCACGGCUAACUACGUGCCAGCCGCCGC